ensembl:misc_RNA Metazoa_SRP Metazoan signal recognition particle RNA
GCCGGGCGCGGUGGCGCGUGCCUGUAGUCCCAGCUACUCGGGAGGCUGAGGCGGGAGGAUCGCUUGAGUCCAGGAGUUCUGGGCUGCAGUGAGCUAUGCCGAUCGGGUGUCCGCACUAAGUUCGGCAUCAAUAUGGUGACCUCCCGGGAGCGGGGGACCACCAGGUUGCCUAAGGAGGGGUGAACCGGCCCAGGUCGGAAACGGAGCAGGUCAAAACUCCCGUGCUGAUCAGUAGUGGGAUCGCGCCUGUGAAUAGCCACUGCACUCCAGCCUGGGCAACACAGUGAGACCCUACCUUUU